rnacentral:rRNA from 1 species
UAGGGAAUCUUCCGCAAUGGGCGAAAGCCUGACGGAGCAACGCCGCGUGAGUGAUGAAGGUCUUCGGAUCGUAAAACUCUGUUAUUAGGGAAGAACAAAUGUGUAAGUAACUAUGCACGUCUUGACGGUACCUAAUCAGAAAGCCACGGCUAACUACGUGCCAGCAGCCGCGGUAAUACGUAGGUGGCAAGCGUUAUCCGGAAUUAUUGGGCGUAAAGCGCGCGUAGGCGGUUUUUUAAGUCUGAUGUGAAAGCCCACGGCUCAACCGUGGAGGGUCAUUGGAAACUGGUUGACUUGAGUGCAGAAGAGGAGAGUGGAAUUCCAUGUGUAGCGGUGAAAUGCGUAGAUAUAUGGAGGAACACCAGUGGCGAAGGCGACUUUCUGGUCUGUAACUGACGCUGAUGUGCGAAAGCGUGGGGAUCAAACAGG